GGCAGUGUGGCACAGCGGUCUGAGUGUUGGACUAGGACUCUGGGAGACCAGGGUUCAAAUCCCCGCACAGACA